CCCCGGGGACCGGUGGACGCCGAGCUGUCCCGCUGAGCCGCGGCGCACAGCCUGAGGGCUGCUGACCCCCUCGAGUCCACGGGCGCCCCUCGCAUUCUCUGCUUGGCCUAACGAGCCCCUCCCCAGAGCUGUGCUUGGGACCUUUUCAAGAUGACUUGGUUCCACUCCACCCUGAGGUCUUCACCAGUAAGAUGGCAAGCCAUUUGCAAGGCUGGAACAGGAAGCCUACGGAAGCGGGCAGGCAGAGGUCAGCAGCAGCUAGGACGAGAACUGCUGCUCUUUCUGCCUCUUCUGUGCAGGCUGACUACUCCAACUCUCCCCAUGAACUAAGAAGAAACUGGGCAGUCCGGAAAUAUGGCCACCAAGCUCAGCAAAGGGCAAGGGUGAGGCAUGGGAAGAAAUGGGAAACAUGUGACAUCUAUAAAUGGCGAGACCACAAACUCCACCUUCCUUGCUUCAGCAGUCAGGCAGGAGAGAGGGGAGACUUUCCAGGAGAGAGAAAAGACCUCCAAGUGCUGACAUCUGGGAAUCCAAAGGAAAACCCAGCACACUGACUAGAGACCAUCCUAUGUACAGCCCGGCCGUGGACACACCGCUCUCAUCCUGCACUCAGCCUCAGGUGCCUUAAACACCAACGCUGCGCAAAUGAUUGCAACGUCUGCAUCUCCACGCUCCACCUCUCCCCGCAUCUCUGGACUCAAACCCAGCUUCUCCAUUUAGAAACCUACUGGCAACUCAAGCUUACCAUGAUUGAAACACAGUGCAUGCUCCUCCUGCAGUCUUCCCUGUCUUAGUAAAAGGCCAAUAAAUCGAUUCU
rnacentral:lncRNA from 1 species